UUAUAAAGAUUAGAACUUUGCAUAUGAUGUAUGCAGGGAAACUCAUUCUAGUAAAUUUCCAUAAGACUCCCAUAAUAAACUACUGUGUAAAUUAGUGGAUCACUAGUCCUGUAACUUAAGGUUUUGGUUUAAUGCUGGCAGCAGGUGAACUACAAUCAUGUAAUAAAAUUUUCUGACAGCUGUUCUACAGAAAGUAGCACUGACUGCUUACAGUGGGAGGCCAGGUACUGGUUUUGUAAGUUAGACUCAAACAGAGUGACCCAUGCCUAGGUGAUUUCCUCUCAGAAAGACGCAGUUCCAUGUAGUUCUUCAAAUGAGUUUAACAAAGUUGGACAACCAAAGGAGGUGCCUGAGGUGUGGGUGUAGAGGAAGGAUGAGAGCCGUGUUCAUGGCGCAGCCACCAUGUACACAACUGUAGUAGGGGCUUUGCAUAUUCAUAGAAAACCGAGUACUUACAUAGUAUUCAGCAGAACUGACGGGACUUCCAGCCCUGAGAAGUAGCCUCAGAGGGAGGGAGCCAGCGCAUCUGAAAAGACAUGGAGGGAGAAGCCUGUAAGCCAGGGCUCCCCAACACAUCCCCAUUCUGACGGAGGGUCCCGCUUGCCUACCACUUCCCCACUGUUCCAACAUGGUACCCACUCCCACUAGCCUGUGAGGACCUCUUCUUCACGGGGCUGAAAAGCAUCAGAGCAGUGUCUUGAGAGAUGUCCCACACACCCUUAUGAACACAUGGGCAAGCUCUCUGAGGAAAGCACCCACCUCGAGACGCACCCGAGGGUCCACCCAGUCCUCUGCUCUCAUCCUCCUUUUAAAGGUUAGCAGCUAUUUUGAGGCUAAGAUCUGGCCCAGCGAUUUCCUUUUCCCAGGACUAGGCUGGUGAAAGGCUGUCUAAUGGCUUUCUAAGCAUAGUAUAGAAACACAUCUGCUGUGAUAAGGAAGGAGCAGUUCAAGAGCCCACCCAUGCCAGUGGCCUGGCUAGGACUUCACUGCGAUUUUGUUCUUGUUCUAGAAAAAGGGUCUGGCUUCUUGGCACUGCGGGUGCCUGUACCCCAGGCCCUCUGCUCACUCUGCUGAGGAGAUGGGCCUGCAGCUUUUAGCAAGGAGCUUCCCAGGUAGGACCAGCAGCCCUGUCUCUUCCAUUAGCUUUCCAAAGUGGAAGGCCAGCCCCAAACACAGGUGGACUGAGCAACACUGUCCACCUGGCCAUAUAUUCCAGGUCUUAUGCCAAGGAAAACAUGAAAAGGAAAAAAAACCAAAAGGGCAAGUGCACUUUGUCUUUAACAGCAUUCCUCACUGGCCGUGUCAGUUCUGGACAGAGGCAAGAGAUGCCUGCCUCCCACUGCUCUUCUCUUCACAUGGAAGAGGCAUGGUCUCCCCAUGACCGCCGUUAGCAGCUCAGAAGCACUGCUGAGAGUGGAGAAGGUGACUGCGAGAAGGAAGCCCUGCCCCAGCCUCUCUGACCAGCUCUCGCACACAGCCCCCACGUUCUCACUUGCACAGGUGCCUGCAGGGUGGGGGAUGAUCGUGCAGCCUGUCCUCAGGCUUUCGUCAACCUGGUCGAGGUGCACUCCAGGGUGACACGAAGAUGAGAAAAUGAAGGGCCAGAGGAUUAAAUACAGACAGAAUUUAUGUUCCCAGUACUGAUGCCAAGGACAGGAAGACCUUGACUAGUCUCGGGUGGACACCCUGCCUGAAGCGCCAGCCCUUCUAUGGUGGUAAGCCGCACAAGCAGCCUAUUAGAAAUCCGAGAGAACUGCUGUUAAUCUGGACAAAUGAGGCCUCUGAAAAGCCGUAAGGUAACCAGGGUUUUCUCUCUCAGUCCUACUUACCUGCAGAAGCUUCUGGCCCACAUUGUGACUCUGAGUGAAGUAGAGGGUGCAUGGUGGUGUGUUUCGAGAAUGUGGUAAGGACAGUAUACUUUACUGACUUUCCUCUCUGCUCCAUCACAACAAGACUAAAAGCAAAACGCGAACUCCAAUCUAAGAAGCGGAAGUGUGUGAAUGUGAGGUGACAGCAACAGCUGUAUACUCUCUUCAGCGUAUAACUUUUUUGAAAACAAUGGAUGAAAGCUUCCUCCCCUAAUAAAUUUCAAAUACCAAUGACCUUGAAAAUAAACUGGUCACUUUUUAAAAUGUUAAUGAUCUUCUUAGCAAUCAGACGUUUGCUGCAAAGGGUUGCUCUUUCAUCUCUAAACAUUGUUAGUACUGAGGCUUUCAGUCCUAUCACCUUAACCAAUAAUUUCUAAAAAAUGGGAUCUGAUGGCAAAUAAGCAUCUUUACUUUACAGCUGGGAAAUCUGAAGGGGUACCAGACCACAACUGAAGCCGGGGCAGGGCUAGAAAAGUGACUCAACUUCUUUCAACGAUACUUUGUCUCCUGGUCUUCCUUCCGGUGGAUCACAGUGGGAAGAGUGGACAACGCGUCCAUUCGUUUCACAUGGGCUCCCCUAGCUAUACCCGCCAUCUCUGCUGAAGUGAGGUCUCCUGAUGGAUGAGACGCUUCCAACAUGGAGCUCUUGGUGGCUCUUCCAGCAGCCCAGGCAGAGAAAAGCAGCAGCGGUGUGGCCUCAACUCCAGGAUCUGGUCUCCCAAGGAAGCUCGUUCUGAGUCCUUCCAUGUAAAAUAGACUUGGUGUCACGGGCCCAAUUCUCCCACCACCUCAGUCAAAGAGUAACACCUUUGCUCCAAAACUGCAUCACCAUGAAAACAAAACGCUGCAGUCUACUUGAGAUCAUUUUUGCUCUGAUUAAAAUUUUUAUUGAAAUCUCUC